rnacentral:rRNA from 1 species
UGUGUAAGUAUAAACAACUUGUAUUUGUGAAACUGCGAAUGGCUCAAUAAAUCAGUUAUAAUUUAUUUGAUAGUGAUGUGAAGACAAAACUUUACUACAUGGAUAGCCGUAGUAAUUCUAGAGCUAAUACAUGCGUAUAGGUCCGACUCGUAAGGGAAGGGCUGUAUUUAUUAGAUCGAAAACCAAUUAGUUAAUUAAUCUCUUCAUUGGGAUUUUAACAAAUGUUAAUUCAUAAUUGGUGAAUCAUGAUAAAAUGUCGAAUCAGGGUUAUAAUUUAUUUAUUACACUGAUGAAUCAUAGAAAUUUCUGCCCUAUCAACUUUUGAUGGUAGGAUAGAGGCCUACCAUGGUUUUGACGGGUAACGGAGAAUUAGGGUUCGAUUCCGGAGAGGGAGCCUGAGAGACGGCUACCACUUCCAAGGAAGGCAGCAGGCGCGCAAAUUACCCAAUCCCAAUAAGCUUUGGGGAGGUAGUGACAAAAAAUAUCAAUACAGGAGCUGUAAAAAGCUUACUGCAAUUGAAAUGGUAAUAAUGUAAAUGCUUGUUGGAGCAACAAUUAGAGGGCAAGUCUGGUGCCAGCAGCCGCGGUAAUUCCAGCUCUAAAAGUGUAUACUAAAAUUGCUGCAGUUAAAAAGCUCGUAGUUGGAUUUUGGAGGAAACGAAGAAUUAAUCAUUUUUUAGGAUUUCCUGAUGGGUGUUUAAGUUUUAUAAUUUAACAUUUUAAGUUUUUUUUUAAAAUUUUGAGGGCUUUUCAUUAAGUUUUCAUUAUUUUUUAGAAGAUUUAAAAAGAUAAGUUUGAUUUAAACAUUAUAAACAUGGGAAGUUGGUUUCUUCCUAAAUAAUUAUUCGAUUUUUGUUUUGAAGAAUUUUUUAAGUUAUUUUUUCAUUAAGAUAAUUUUUAAAAUUAUUUAGAACGUUAACAAAAAAAUCGGAGAAUUUUACUUUGAAGAAAAUGGAGUGUUCAAAGCAGGCGUAUUAUCGCAACUGAACACAUUAGCAUGGAAUAAUAAAAUAGGACACUUGAUUAAUUAGAUUUUAUUUUUUGAUAUUUUAUUGGGGUUAAACUUGAUGAAAUAUCAAAAAAUAAUUUCUUAUUUAUUAAUUGUGAAUAUUUUUAAUUUUUUAUUUUGUUUUUCUGUUAAAGGAAAAAUGAAAUAUUAAAUUUGAAUAUUCGUUCAUUCCAAUUUUUUAUUGGUUAAUUGGAACAAGUGUAAUGAUUAAGAGGGACAGUUGGGGGCAUCCGUAUUGCAUUGUCAGAGGUGAAAUUCUUGGAUUUAUGCAAGACGAACGAGUGCGAAAGCAUUUGCCAAGGAUGUUUUCACUAAUCAAGAACGAAAGUUAGGGGAUCGAAAGCGAUCAGAAACCGCUCUAGUCUUAACUAUAAACUAUGCCAACUAGGGAUUGGAGGGAUACUUUUUUAAUAAAAGCCCCGUCAGGACCUUUAGAGAAAUCGCUAAGUCUCUGGGUUCUGGGGGGAGUAUGGUCGCAAGUCUGAAACUUGAAGAAAUUGACGGAAGGGCACCACCAGGUGUGGAGCCUGCGGCUUAAUUUGACUCAACACGGGGAAACUUACCAGGUCCAGACACGGGAAGGAUUGACAGAUUGAUGGUUCUUUCUUGAUCCCGUGGGUGGUGGUGCAUGGUCGUUCUUAGUUGGUGGAGUGAUUUGUCUGGUUAAUUCCGAUAACGAACGAGACCUCAUCCUGCUAAAUAGCUAAGUAAUUUUUUAAAGUUUGGAUUGAUUUUCUUUUCUUUUUUUUUGGUUUUCGGAUUUUUCUUUAAUCGGAAGAAUUUAAGAAUUGAAGGAAAAGAAUUAUAUGAAGAUUAAAUCUGAAUUUAGAUUAUCAGCUUUAUUUGGAAUGUAAAAGUUUCUUUUAAAGACAUCUAGGAAAUUGCUUGUUUGAUUCUUGGGAGUUAAAUCUUAAGGAUCAAAAUCUAGAUAAGCUUCUUAGAGGGACAACCAUGGUUGCACAUGGGGGAAGCAUGAGGCAAUAACAGGUCUGUGAUGCCCUUAGAUGUUCUGGGCCGCACGCGCGCUACACUGACAGAGUCAGCAAGUUGAAAUUUAGAUUUAUGAUGUUGGGUAAUUUUGUUUUAAUCCGUUAAAAAGAUUAAGAUAAUUUAUUUCUACAACAUUUUAUAAAUUGAAUCCUUGCCCGAAAGGGUUGGGUAAUCUUGUUAAACUCGGUCGUGAUGGGGAUUGAUCUUUGUAAUUUUGGAUCAUGAACGAGGAAUACCUAGUAAGUGCAGUUCAUCAGACUGCGCUGAUUACGUCCCUGCCCUUUGUACACACCGCCCGUCGCUCCUACCGAUUGAAUUAUCAGAUGAAAUGUUCGAAUUGUACAAUUGCAGAAAAUACAACUUUUUGUUAGCAAUAAUGAAAAGUUUUUCAGUGAAUGUGCGAGAAGAACAGUGAAUCUUAUUAUUUAGAGGAAGGAGAAGUCG